UGGUACCUAUAACGUAAACCUGCUGACAUCAUGUGUUAACCUUUGCCAUCACGCACCGCGUGGAACCUUACCACGUGCACAUGUGUUAUUCAAAGGUCGAUGUCGGUUAAGUGCAGCGCUCCCCAUCAUUCGGUGGUUGUGCGGGAAUCAAAGCGCCGUGGGUUAUCCGUUCCGACCGAGGAAACGGAGUCUUAGCCGUUCAAGUCACAUAUUACUAUUUUUUUCACUGUUAUCAGGGGUCACACUGUUUUUUUCAGUUAUUAUAUUAUUAUUAUUAUUAUUAUUAUUAUCAUUAUUAUUUGUACUCCGUUUGCAUAUUACUGUCCCAUAACGAUGUAGUCAUUUUAUUGUGAACACCAAAUUUAAAACGUGUUGAGUUAUUCGUGGGGCGUCACCAACACACCAACACCGCACUACGACCGCCUACCACAGACCUCACUCACGGAUAUUUCCGUAUAUAUUAUAAUGUUAAAUUAUAUCGGUGUUUCCGAAUUGCGGACAAAGUGACAAUAACUAUGUGAGUUGCGGACGAAAUCUAAAAUGGUAACAUAUACGAAUUGCGGACAAACGUCCAGUUAUUAUAUCAUAAUAAAUGUUGCAGUAUCUAUUCAAUGCACACAUAUUUUUAAGCACAUCUACCAAUUUUUUGGUUGCUUGUACUAAGUCCUGAAAAGUGGCGAAGGGAAAUAUUUGUAUCCGCAACUCGAGUGGUUUUUAUUAAAAAAAGCUCUGUGCGCAAUUAGUAUGAUGACAACGAAACUGGUGUCCGUAAUUAUUUUGUUAUAAUAUUGACCUGAAUAAUUCGUCCGCAAUUAGUAUGUGUCCAAUUAUAUUAUCAUAUUAUACUGUUAAAUUGGCUCUCCGAAAAGGAAUCACCUCGAAACAACGAACAAGUUAACUAGGAUUCUCAAGCGCUGGGGCUGUUUCACAAUCAUAUAUUUCAUUUUACAUAAAAUUGCAGAAUUCAGUUUAUCAAAAAUUUCAGACGAUAGGUAUUAGAAACUAUAAACAUAGCAUAGCGAUUACGAUUUCAACACAGUCAUUUUGAAGAGUGAACCACGAAGGGUUGAAAGAAUAUUCAAUUCAAUUGAAGGUAUAACGCUCAUUCUUUAAACCGUGUUAGUGAUCGUUCUUAAAUAGAAAAAAUGAGUAAUUCACCCCAGUAAAAAAAAUUUAACAAUUUAUUCUUAUUUGAAGAAUAAAUACCAUUUAUUUUUAAUCAUUGUUAAAAGGAUUAAAUUAGAA